AGAAAUAAAUAUAAUCAGUCAAGCUGGCUGUGCUUUAUGAGAAUAUAAAUUAUAGUUGAAUAGUAUUGUGUGUUUAGUGGAAAAGUACUGUGACAGCUUAGUCAUGGAAAAUGAGGAAAAGACACUUUUGACCAUGAAGUUACUCCUCAAUCUGUGACAGACAACAGCGCAUUGUUCUCUCUGACCGCCAGCAUAGUUAAAGUCUGCCUAGCAACUGAUGAAGAGGGCGUGUGC